rnacentral:rRNA from 1 species
CCUACGGGUGGCAGCAGUGGGGAAUAUUGCACAAUGGGGGAAACCCUGAUGCAGCGACGCCGCGUGAGUGAAGAAGUAUUUCGGUAUGUAAAGCUCUAUCAGCAGGGAAGAAAAUGACGGUACCUGAUUAAGAAGCCCCGGCUAACUACGUGCCAGCAGCCGCGGUAAUACGUAGGGGGCAAGCGUUAUCCGGAUUUACUGGGUGUAAAGGGAGCGUAGACGGCAGCGCAAGUCUGAAGUGAAAUGCCGGGGCUUAACCCCGGAACUGCUUUGGAAACUGUGCAGCUAGAGUGCAGGAGAGGUAAGUGGAAUUCCUAGUGUAGCGGUGAAAUGCGUAGAGAUCAUACAGAACACCGAUUGCGAAGGCAGCUUACCAAGCUACUUCUGACGUUGAGGCACGAAAGCGUGGGGAGCAAACAGGAUUAGAUACCCCAGUAGUC